rnacentral:rRNA from 1 species
UACGAAGGGGGCUAGCGUUGCUCGGAAUUACUGGGCGUAAAGCGCACGUAGGCGGCUUUCUAAGUCGGGGGUGAAAUCCUGGAGCUCAACUCCAGAACUGCCUUCGAUACUGGAAGGCUUGAAUCCGGGAGAGGGAUGCGGAAUUCCAGGUGUAGCGGUGAAAUGCGUAGAUAUCUGGAGGAACACCGGUGGCGAAGGCGGCAUCCUGGACCGGUAUUGACGCUGAGGCGCGAAAGCCAGGGGAGCAAACGGG